rnacentral:rRNA from 1 species
UACGGGGGGGGCAAGCGUUGUUCGGAAUUACUGGGCGUAAAGGGCUCGUAGGCGGCCAACUAAGUCAUACGUGAAAUCCCUCGGCUUAACCGGGGAACUGCGUCUGAUACUGGAUGGCUUGAGUUCGGGAGAGGGAUGCGGAAUUCCAGGUGUAGCGGUGAAAUGCGCAGAUAUCGGGAAGAACACCCGUGGCGAAGGCGGCUCUCUGGGACGGUACUGACGCUGAGACGCGAAAGCGUGGGGAGCGAACAGG